rnacentral:hammerhead_ribozyme from 1 species
AUCCAGCUGACGAGUCCCAAAUAGAAUGAACUGUCGUGCUUCCUGGAU